UACGGGGGGGGCAAGCGUUGUUCGGAAUUACUGGGCGUAAAGGGCUCGUAGGCGGCCAACUAAGUCGGAUGUGAAAUCCCCAGGCUCAACCUGGGAACUGCAUCCGAUACUGGAUGGCUUGAAUUCGGGAGAGGGAUGCAGAAUUCCAGGUGUAGCGGUGAAAUGCGUAGAUAUCUGGAGGAACACCGGUGGCGAAGGCGGCAUUCUGGACCGAUAUUGACGCUGAGGAGCGAAAGCCAGGGGAGCAAACGGG
rnacentral:rRNA from 1 species